UACGGGGGGGGGUAAGCGUUGUUCGGAAUUACUGGGCGUAAAGGGCUCGUAGGCGGCCAACUAAGUCAGACGUGAAAAUCCCUCAGCUUAACUGGGGAACUGCGUCUGAUACUGGAUGGCUUGGAUUCGGGAGAGGGAUGCGGAAUUCCAGGUGUAGCGGUGAAAUGCGUAGAUAUCAGGAGGAACACCUGUGGUGUAGACGGUCUCUGGACCGCAACUGACGCUGAGACACGAAAAGCGUGGGUAGCAAACAGG
rnacentral:rRNA from 1 species